AACGAACGCUGGCGGCAGGCCUAACACAUGCAAGUCGAACGCUCCGCAAGGGGAGUGGCGCACGGGUGAGUAACACGUGGGAACCUACCUUCUGGUACGGAACAACCAAGGGAAACUUUGGCUAAGACCGUAUACGACCUCCGGGUGAAAGAUUGAUCGCCGGAAGAGGGGCCCGCGUCCGAUUAGGUAGUUGGUGAGGUAACGGCUCACCAAGCCUUCGAUCGGUAGCUGGUCUGAGAGGAUGACCAGCCACACUGGGGACUGAGACACGGCCCAGACUCCUACGGGAGGCAGCAGUGGGGAAUAUUGGACAAUGGGCGCAAGCCUGAUCCAGCCAUGCCGCGUGAGUGAUGAAGGCCUUCGGUUG
rnacentral:rRNA from 1 species